AAAAAAUUACAAAAAAAAAAAAAAAAAAUGAUUUUACUCAUGAAUAGUAAAAUAGUAUAUUUAUGCAAUAGGAAUUAAAAACGAACCAACGUUUUUUUAAAAUCAAUAUGAAUAUAACAUUUUUAUGCAAAUUUAAUAAAAUUAAACAAAGCUAAUCAAAUUAGCUAAGCCCAAAACGACAAAAAAAAAAAAUAAAAUAAAAUAAAAUAAUUAAACAUGACUAAAAAUAUAAACAAAUUAAAAAAAAAAAAAAAAAAUGAUAGUGACACUGAUGAAAUUAAAAAAUGUGAACAUAAUAACAACACGCGGGACCAACAUAGCGAAUCAUCUAAAUCUGCAGAUAAAAUUAAUAAUGAUAAAACAAAACAAAAUGUAAAAAAUAUACUUGGCUUGUAUUAUUCAAGCGAUGACGAAGGAGAGCUAAACGAAGAACAACCAAAACAGCAAGAACAGCUUGAAAGAAAACAUGACAAAAUUUAUGACAAAAUUUAUGACAAAAUUUAUGACAAAAUUUAUGACAAAACUUCUGACAAAACUUCUGACAAAACUUAUGACAAAACUUGUGACAAAAUUUGUGACAAAACUUAUGACAAAAUUUGUGACAAUACUUUUAACAAAACUUAUGACAAAACUUAUGACAAAACUUGUGACAAAACUUCUGAAAAAACUUCUGAAAAAAAUGUCACAAAUGAAUGCACGUUUCAAAGCGAUAAUAAAUAUGACAAGACAAAGGAACAAGAUAAUAAAAUGGACCCAAAUGAAAAAAAUAAAAACAAUUUUGGUGAAAGUGCACAUGCAAGUGAUAAUGACAUAAACAACACUAAUGAAAACAAAGUUAUUAAUAUAAGUAGUAACAAAAAAAAAAAUCAAUCUUAUUCUAAUAAUCAAAUAAAAAAUCAAUCAUUCCAAAAAGAAGGUAGUAUACCUAGUUACUCUUCUGUAAAUAAUCAAUCAUUAAACACAAAUAAAAGUGAUAAAAAAAAAAAUCCAAAUGAAGGUGUAUAUAAAAUUAAUGAUAAGAGUUAUACUACUAACAACAUACAAAAGUUAUAUAGUAACACAUAUAAUAAUAAAACACUUUUUAAUAAUAUGGACAUAAAAUAUACACAAAGUCAACUAAUAGCGAAUCAAAAUAACAAUUAUUUAAAUAGUUUAAAUUAUUAUAACACAAAUCAUAAUAAUGUAAAUAACUAUUAUAACUACGAUGUUAGUAAAGGAUGUAAUACUAACAGCGCCUACUCUAACAUAAAUACAUACAGUACUGGAAAUGCUUACAAAAAUAAAACAAUACACGAACAUAAUUAUAAUAUUAAUAAAAACGCUAAUAUAAACAAAAAUUUAAACUCUCUACAUAUUAACAAUUUCGGUUUUUCAAAAAAUAAAGAAAUCAAUUUUGAUUUAUCAAAUAUACCAGUAAUAAAACAAAAAGAAAUGUUAAAUGAUUGGAACCCAAACAUAACAGUAUUAGAUAAAGAAGAACAACAACAAAGUAAUAAAUAUAAUAUAAAAACAAAAGUAUAUAAUCCAAUUAAUAAUACAUUUGAUAAAGUAAUUAUUCAUGGGAAAAAUCAAAAACGUAAACAU
ensembl:lncRNA